UACGAAGGGUGCAAGCGUUACUCGGAAUUACUGGGCGUAAAGGGUGCGUAGGUGGUUGUUUAAGUCUGCUGUGAAAGCCCCGGGCUCAACCUGGGAAUGGCAGUGGAUACUGGACAGCUAGAGUGCGGUAGAGGGUAGUGGAAUUCCCGGUGUAGCAGUGAAAUGCGUAGAGAUCGGGAGGAACACCAGUGGCGAAGGCGGCUACCUGGACCAGCACUGACACUGAAGCACGAAAGCGUGGGGAGCGAACAGG
rnacentral:rRNA from 1 species